UUCACAGACGUCGUGUCGAACAACUCUCUAUAAAUAGAUUUGGUACUAGCACAGAUGGUAAUCGAAGCCAACAAGUUAGAUAAGCAUUUUGCAUAGCUAUAUUUUAAGAGCUUCAAUCAGAAAAAUGGCAUCAUUGAAAGCUGAAAAGGCUGUUGGCACACAACUGUUUGGGCAGGCCAAGAAGGAGCCUGCCAAAACUAGUGAUGGUGCAUCCAAAGGUUCCGGCUCCAAGUCGGCAACAAAGAAGUCUGCAGCAAAGACUCAAGAGGCGGCGCCCAAGAAGAAGGGCAAGGGUGGAAAGUCAGCAGCGAAGCACUAACAGUAAUGCUGAACGCAUGAAGGUUCGCGAAAGGAGCUAAGCUACGUAUAUGAAUUUAAGGGAUGAAUUAUUAUUUGGCUUGUUAUGUUAUUUUGAAUAUUAAUUAGUGUGACCAUGGUCAUGGGACCUUGGUGUGUUUAUGUAUGUUGGCUUGCUUUUAUGGAGUAAUAAAAUAAAUUAAUACAUA